UACGUAGGCAGCGAGCGUUGUUCGGAGUUACUGGGCGUAAAGGGUGUGUAGGCGGCCAGGUAGGUCUGGUGUGAAAACUCGAGGCUUACCUACGAGAUGUCAUCGGAAACCAUCUGGCUAGAGUCCGGAAGAGGAGAGUGGAAUUCCUGGUGUAGCGGUGAAAUGCGCAGAUAUCAGGAAGAACACCAAUGGCGAAAGCAGCUCUCUGGGACGGUACUGACGCUGAGACGCGAAAGCGUGGGAGCGAACAGGAUUAGAUACC
rnacentral:rRNA from 1 species